CUUUUUUCCGAACGAAACUAAAGGUUUUAGAAUUUAGACCUUUCUUAUUCUUUUUUUUUUUUUUCCGGAAGGAGACGGCGCAGCGUUUCGCUUCUUCUUGUAACCCAUAGCAGCAGUACUUAAAGCAGAGUUGAGGGAUAGUUAAGGAUGUUCAUACAGUAGCAAUUCAUAUGAUGUCUUGAGUGAAAUACAUCUAAAUCCUCCAAAGGCUUUAAAGGACUUAAAUAAUGCAAAUCUUUGCAAAUCAAGUGAGGCCACAAAUCAGAUUAUUCAAGGUGAAGUGUAGUGAAUGGUAAUUUGAUUAGUUCGAACGACACGAGAAGUUGAAGCUACGCUCAAAACUCGAGGUGAGUUAAGUUUUCUCCCUAGGUCGAUGGCUAGAUAAAUUGUGCAUAUUAAAUUAUAUGUUUGCUUGCAUUUAUUUUUAGAAUAAACUACAUCUAUAUUUGUUAACUCUUAUAACAUAAACUAAUUAAAUUGUAUGAUGUAUUGUAGUUAUUUGGUUAUGUGCAAUUAUUUACUUACGUGCAAUUUGCUUGUAUGGCUCAGACUUAGUUCUGAUUUAGAUUUAGCUAACCUCCCCUUGCGUGAGUGCCUCACGCAAGGGCCAGGGUUAGCUACCCCAUGCUCGUAGGGGCUAUUGUUUGUUAGAGAGAUAGGCCGAUACUCCCCGUGCAUGUUCCUAGAUGCUCACGUACGCAGGGCUAUUAUGUGCAACGCUUUUUAAAAAAGUUAUUUCUUGAAAAUUAACUCGGUUUUUAACUUUAGUUUUAAAUAUAAGUUUUUGACUUAGCUUUCAGUUUCAGUUUCAGUUAUCAUAUAAAGACUCAGUUUUCAACUUCAGCUUUAAGUUAUCAGUUUAUAUUCAAUUUUCUGAAUUAGUUUCAGCUUUAAGAUUAUUCAGUUCUGUUGUGUGAAACAUUUGCUCUACUUGAUGCACUUUAUUAUAUUUGUAUAUAGCCCAUGCUAGUCUUGUCCUCCGCGUAAGGGGUUAUCAAUGAGACUUUCUGGGUAUUCUUGGAGAUACUUAGCCCAUUUGGGCCUGCCAUAUCAUGUGGCAGGCGUUGAGUGCACAAGUGAUAAAGUCCAUGACUAGAGGCAAGCUUUCAAGACUCGGAGUGCAGGCUCUGUUGAUUUACUCCAGCGGUAGCAAAUCUUUUCUCGGGAUUUUAUUUAUUUUAGAUAUGUAUAUUACUCUAGGGUAAUGUCCCAAAGUUUCAUGCAUAUAGCUUCCAGUAGAGGCUCAUGACUUGAUAGUGGGUUUAGUUGUGUAGAUAUUUAUCAUUUGAUUCGGGAUUCAAUUUCCUUCAGACAAUUAUGUUUAUAGACUUUAUCAAUACCUUAUGGCUUGCUUAGGAGUGGCAAACGGACGGGUCAGGUUGGAUAUGGUUCGGGUCAAAAACGGGUAAUGAAAAAAUGAAUAAAUUAUUCGACCCGACCCAUAUUUAAUACGAAUAAAAAACGGGUUAACCAACGGAUAAUAUGGGUAACCAUAUUAUCCAUGACUUCUUGAAUAUGAACACUUUUGGGAGAAUUCCUAGUCUCCCAAACUUGAGGAACCCCAAAUUUGAGAUUUUACAAAUGUAAAAGUUAAACCCAUUAGUUAUCUAUUUGUUACCUAUUGGUUAUUCAUUUUCUAAAUGGAUAAUAUGGUUCUUAUCCAUAUUUGACCCAUUUUUAAAAAGUUCAUUAUCCAACCCAUUUUUAAUGGAUAAUAUGAGUGGUUAACUGUGUUCUUUUAACCAUUUUGCCACUCCUAAACUUGCUUAGUGCAUAAGUAAUUAUUAGCCAACUAGAACAGGGUUCUCUCAACAGGUGAGGUAGGUUGAGAGCCAUCACGUCCCACCCUAAUUUCGGGCAUGACAGGAACAACUUAGACUGGACAUGAAGGUGUCCCCGGUGGAGUACAUACCAGAACAUAAGAAAUGUUUCAAAUAAUUCUUAUACCAUUUAUGCUUACAAGAUAAGGAUCAAUUAGGAAAAAGUGCUUAUACCAAGUCAUGCCAAGAACACCUUCUGGGUUCGUACGCUUCUAUGAUGAUUGUUCUUUCUUUCAAGAAAUUUCCAAAAUUAGUAUAACUACAAUAUAGGUGAUACAAUAAUGAAUUCGAGCUUCUUUAUGUUAGUCUUAUCCAAGUUCCCCCUUAAAUCCUAGCCUUGCAUCAUUUGAGAAUUCUUAGGAAGAGCUUAUGAGCGUUCUUUAAGAGAAACUAAAGCCGGAAAAGUUAUGCAAACGUGAAAGAGAAGGAAUCUAUACUGCUUAUAUAGUAGAUCUAGAAUCUUCACUACCCCAAGUGUACCAAAUGGGUUGCCCCGUACUGGCCUUUGUGUCCGGUGGGACAGCUGGCGCGAUUCUGGUAACAUGUAAUCAUCUUAUUACCCAUUGAUAUGGCAUUGGCUGAUUGGCUGUGCUAGAGGCUAAACUUGCCAAUCGUUUAACCUUAUGGGUGGAUAAAGAGUACGGGGUAUAACAUCAUUCCCCCUUCGGAACAUUCGUCCUUGAAUAUUUAAUGACAGUCAUCCGUUCUCUGAACGUUCGUGUCAAUCAUCCUUCGUGGCACCCUAAGUAGUAUCGGCCAUAGGAGUCUCAACAUUUCCACAUUCAGUAUAAAAUAAAUGAGAGUAUUUGGACUUUAUAUCCCCUUCAGCUUCCCAUGUCAUCUCUUCCACAUUGUUGUUACUCCAAAGUACCUUAACUGAAGCUACCUCUUUAGUUCGUAGCUUACGAAUUUGACGGUCCAAGAUAGUCACCAGAACUUCCUCAUAAGAUAUAUUCUCAGUGAUUUUAACAUAUUCGAUGGGGGAAAUGGGAUAUGGGUCACCCAAACAUUUACGAAGCACAGACACAUAAAAUACCGGAUGCACUGCGGCAACUCAAGCUUAUAAGCCACUUGAUCGAUCCUCUGAACGAUCUGAUAUGGUCUAAUAUACUAGGGGCUGAGUUUUCCUUUCUUACCAAAUCUCAUCACGCCCUUCGUAGGUAAUACCUUUACGAAUACACAAUCUCUUAUCGAAAAUUCUAAUGUCGACGUUGGUUGUCUGAGUAGGAUUUUUCUCUGCUCAGAGCAUUCAACAACCGAUCUUGAAUCAGGUUUACCUUUUCUACAGCCUGUUGCACCAAAUCAGGACCUAACAAUUUUAUUUUGCCAACUUUAAACCAACCAAUAGGAGAUCUACACUUCCGUCCGUAUAGACCCCCAUAUGGUGUCACUCAGAUGAUAGCAUGGUAGCUGUUGUUAUAAGAAAAUUCAAUAAGUGGUAAACAAUCUUCCCAAUUCCCUUUGAAGUCUAAAACACAAGCUCGUAACAUAUCCUCGAGCGUUCGAAUGGCACGCUCGGCUUGGCCGUCUAUUUGUGGAUGGAAUGUUAUGCUAAGAUUGAUCCUCGUACCCAAUCCUUUUUGUAAUGAUCUCCAAAAGUUAGCUGUAAAUUGGGAACCUAUGUCUGAUAUAAUACAAAUCGGAAUUGCAUGAAGUCGAACUAUUUCCUUAAUAUACAUCUUAGCAUAAUCCUCAGUCGAGAAAGUAGUCCUAACUUGGUGAGUCUAUCCACAAUAAUCCAUAUAGAACAAAACUUUUGGCAUGAGCGUGGUAAUCCGGUAACAAAGUCCAUGUUGAUUAUCUCCCACUUCCAGGUCGAGAUUUCCAUAUUCUGAAGCAAUCCUCCUGGUUUAUGGUGUUCAACCUUAACUUGUUGGCAAUUUGGACACUGGGCGACGUAUUCCGCUAUAUUUUUCUUCAUUGGGGGAAUAAAAUACCGGAAUUGGUGAAUUUCCUCCAUAAUUUGCCCUCGGAGUCCCUCGAUAUUGUCACAUAAUCGGUUUCUGUAUGUAAAGACUCCAUCCUCGGAUAGCUCGAACACUUGCUUCUUCUGAAGGGGAAUACUUUCUCUUAUUUUCACCAAGGCUAGAUCAUCAAACUGUCGUCCCUUUACUUCAUCCACUAGCGAGGAUUCGGUCUCAUUUCGAAUUAUGACUUCUCCGCCAUCGGUGUCAAGCAAUCGUAAACUUAAAUUGGCCAACAAGUACAAAUCCUUAGUCAUCUCCAAUUUGUCAAUCCCUACAUGCCUUAAGCUACCCAUUGACUUCCGACUUAAUGCGUCAGCUACAACAAUCGCCUUACCGGGGUGGUAUAGAAUAUCGACAUCAUAGUCCUUCAACAAUUCAAGCCAUCUUCGUUGUCUCAAAUUCAAAUCUUUUUGUUUGAACAAGUACUGCAAGCUCUUAUGGUCUGUAAAUAUGUCGACAUAGACUCCAUAUAAAUAAUGACGCCAUAUUUUCAAAACGAAUAUAACGGUUGCUAAUUCAAUGUCAUGAGUCGGUUAAUUUUGCUCAUUCUUUCUCAAUUGCCUUGAAGUAUAAGCAAUAACCUUACCACGUUAUAUCAGUACACUACCCAAUCCCAUUCUAGAAGCAUCACAAUAUAUAACAUAACCUUAUGAUCCUUCAGGAAGAGUUAGAACUGGUGCUGAGGUCAACCUAUCCUUUAACUCUCGAAAGCUCUCCUCACAUACAUUGGUACACUGAAAUUUAGCUAUCUUAUGCGCCAACUUCGUUAAUGGAGGAGCAAUGGAUGAGAAAUUCUCCACAAACCUUAGGUAGUAAUAGUCUAAGCCCAAGAAGCUACGUACCUCCAUAGGACUUGUGGGCCUUGGCCAAUUCUUAACUUCCUCGAUCUUUUGACUAUCAACUUUAAUACCCUCAUUCGAUACUCUGUCAAAGAAGAGACACUAAGGUUAGCCAAAAUUCGCUGUAACGAUCCAAUCGGUCGUUUUGAGCAUUUGUAUUCCAUUCAGCUAUUUGAAUUCUUGAGUAGCUUCAUAUGAUUCAUUAUGACUUGUGUGAAUCAUCGGUUUUGGUUUUUAAGUGAUUCGGGAUUGAUUUGGAAGAAUAAUUCUCAACUAGGAAGCUUAAAGUUGGAAGAGUUGACCAAGUUUGACCUUUGUGUAUUUUAUCCCAGAUUGGAGUUUUGAUGAUUUCUUUAGGUCCAGAUUGUGAUUUUAGACUUGGGCAUACGCCCGGGUUUGUAUUUGGAUGUUUCUAGAAGGUUUCGGCACUAUUUAGCGAAAGUUUGCAAUCUAAAAGUUUGGAAAGUUCCUAGGUUUGACCGGAAAUUGACUUCGAUGUUAUCAAGUUCGGAUUAUUGUUCUGAGAGUUGGAAUAGGUUUGAUAUGUCAUUUGGAAUUUGUAUGCAAAAUUUGAGUUCAUUGCGGAUUGGUUAGACUUGAAUCAGACGCUUGGUCCGAUGUUAGAGGUUUAUGAACUUAAGAGAUUGACAUUGAUCGUUGAUUCAUGGUUUUGAUAUUGUUAUGUAGGAUUUGAAGCCUCGAGAAGGUCCGUAUUAUAUUUUGGGACUUAUUGGUAUGUUCAUACGGGGUCCUGAGGGACUAAUGUGAGUUUAAGAUAGGUUUUGGAUUGUGUUGCGCUAGUUUUUGAUGUUUCGACGUCGUUUCUUCAAGAAUAAAUGGUACCAAAUUAAGAAAAUUAGCUCCAAUUUCUAUUUUAAUUGAAUCAUUAGAUCCGUAUCGUAAUUACGGAUCCAUAUAAAAAAGAAUCGUCGAAUUUGGACAUUUUAUGAGGGAGUUAUGUUCAUUUUAGUGUCGGAGAAGAGAGCUGGUGCUAGUGCUUCGCAGAUGCAAAAUUGGGUCCGCAUCAGUGACCCCGUAGAUGCGAAAUGGUCUGCAAAAGCGGAAAUGAUAGUUGGAAAUGCACAGGUGCGUCUUUUUGGGCGCAAAAGCGGAAAACCUUGUGUAUAAAAAAAUCAAACUACGUUCUUUUUGUAUUUUGAGCAUAUCUUGAGUUCUAGAGCUCCGAUUGAGGUGAUUUUUGUGGCGUUCUUCUCGUAUAUUCAUAGGGGUCAGUAUCUAAUAUCAAUUUUUGUAUUUUAAAAUGAUUAAAGUAGUACAUUUAUGGAUUAAUCUAUAUUUUGAUUGGAGAAUUAGGAGUUUUUAUCAAAAACUUUUCUAAAAAGAAUAAUUAGAUUUUGAACAUCGAUUCAGAGUCGGAAUUGGAUGAAAUUAGUAUGGUUGGACUCGUAAUUGAAUGGGUUAUCGGAUUUUGUGAGUUUUGUCAGGUUUUGAGAUGCGGGCCCACUUUUGAAUAUUUGGUUGACUUUGAGUAAAUGUGUAAAGAUUCGACCUUUAUUAUUUGAGAUUAUUUCCUUAGGAAUUAUUUGAUGUAUUUGAGUUGAUUUUGGUUAGUUUGGAGCCGUUCAGAGGUUGUUACGCGCGGGAUGACAUUUUUAGAGUAUUGUUUGGCUUGCUCGGUAUUGGAUUUGACUUGUUCGAGGUAAGUAACAUAUCUAAUCUUGGAUUUGAGGGCAUUUAACCCUAGGAAAUAUGUUAUAAGAAAUGUAUUGAGGUGACGCACAUGCUAGGUGAGGAACGUGUGGGCGUGUACCGGGAAAAUCAUGAUUCUAUUUGACUAUUAAACUAUGUCCGAACUUGUUUUGCUGUUAUAUCUUGUUACAUCCAUGUUCUCCCUACUUGUUUGAUUAUAUGAGCUUCGAAUCAUGUUAGAAAUUAUGUUUAGGCUAUGCACUUAUUCGGUUGAGACCUAAUGAGGCUAUCUUUGUUGUUUUGAGUUAUCUGCUCUAACUAUAAUUAUAUACUCAGUCAUCAUUCUUCAUUUGCAUAUCAUCUCUCAGUCUCUGUUCAUCAUUCAUUGUUACAUCACUUACUAUCAUUGUUUGGGUUGAGUGGUACGAGAUUGUGAGCCUUUGAGACUUGAGGGAUUGAUGACCGAGUUGGGGCCUGAGAGCCGGAUUGUGAGUGAUAUUAAUGGGUUAUGUUGCACGCCGCAUCAUGCCUUAUUGGCUAUUUAUCGGAUCGGGUUGUAAGCUGCAGCAUGCCUUAUUGGCUUAUUUAUUAUUAUGAGAUUGGGCUGCACGGUGUAGCAUGCCAUAUUGGUUUUAUAUUAGCACUUGGGUAGGAUCCGCCCCUCCGAAGUCUGAUAUACCAGUAGUGAGCGCAGGUACCGUGCAGUGCUGAGUGAUUAUGUGUGAUGAGUGAGUGUUUGAGACAUACCGAUUGAUUACUCUGAGAGUGUGAGUAUCUGGGAUUAUUACCGUGAAAUAAUUCAUUUGACAUGCAUAAUUGGCAUGUAGGCAUAGAGAUGCAUUUUCUCAUGCUAUACGGUAUUGUGACAUUCAUGACUUGACAUGCAUAUUGACAUGUAGGCAUACAGAUGUACUUUUCUUAUGCUAUCUGAUAAUGAAAUAUCUUAUCUGUUGUUGAAAGUUUUUGAAACAAUCACAGUUUUCUUAUAUACUCAUAUUGGUGACUUCAGUGAAAGAUUUGAGUUUUACUGUUAUACUUGAAAAGUAUGCCUAUUUUUCGUAAUUGUGAAUGAGCUGAACAUAAUAUUGGUGUUGGAUUCUGACCCUUUUCCAAGCUCGCCACUUCUUUCAGCCUAAGGUUAGGUUUGUUACUUAUUGAGUACAUGGGGUCGGUUGUACUCAUACUAUACUUCUGCACCUUGCGUGCAGAUUUUGGAGUUGACGUUGCUAUAUAUGGCGGGAUCUAGCAUUGAAGAUGUUCUUGUGAUCCGAUCAUAGCCGCC
rnacentral:lncRNA from 1 species